CGUGUAGGCGGUCUCGCAAGUCGGAUGUGAAAGCCCUCGGCUUAACCGAGGAAGUGCGUUCGAAACUACGAGACUUGAGUACCGGAGAGGGUGGCGGAAUUCCCGGUGUAGAGGUGAAAUUCGUAGAUAUCGGGAGGAACACCAGUGGCGAAGGCGGCCACCUGGACGGUCACUGACGCCGAGACGCGAAAGCGUGGGGAGCAAACA
rnacentral:rRNA from 1 species